CCUACGGGAGGCAGCAGUGGGGAAUAUUGCACAAUGGGGGGAACCUUGAUGCAGCAACGCCGCGUUGGUGAAGAAGUACUCCGGUAUGUUAAGCCCUGUCAGCCGGGAAGCAAAUGCCGGUACCUGACCACGAAGCCGCGUCUAACUAGGUACAGGAAGCCUGGGUACUACGUAGGGGGCAAGCGUUAUACGGAUUUACUGGGGGUUAAGGGAGCGUAGACGGCAAGGCAAGUCUGGAGUGAAACUCCUUGUGCCAACCACGGGACUGCUUUGGAAACUGGGUUGCUGGAGUGGAGGAGGAGUAAGCGGAAUUCCUAGUGUAGCGGUGAAAUGCGUAGAUAUUAGGAGGAACACCGGUGGCGAAGGCGGCUUACUGGACUCUAACUGACGCUGAGGCACGAAGGCGUGGGUAGCAAACAGGAUUAGAUACCCCAGUAGUC
rnacentral:rRNA from 1 species